UACAGAGGGGGCAAGCGUUGUUCGGAAUUACUGGGCGUAAAGGGCGCGUAGGCGGCCUGUUAAGUCGAACGUGAAAUCCCCGGGCUCAACCCGGGAACUGCGUCCGAUACUGGCAGGCUUGAAUUCGGGAGAGGGAUGUGGAAUUCCAGGUGUAGCGGUGAAAUGCGUAGAUAUCUGGAGGAACACCGGUGGCGAAGGCGGCAUCCUGGACCAAUACUGACGCUGAGGAGCGAAAGCCAGGGGAGCAAACGGG
rnacentral:rRNA from 1 species